ensembl:lncRNA
CAAAGAGCAGAGAGAAUCAGAGAGGUAAAGGUGUGAGGGCAGGAAGCUCGAUGCUGAAGACAGAAGAAUAACACAGUGGAAGUUGUCCUGUGGACGAUUUAGCUCUAUUGAAGAACAUCAAUCCAGCUGUCAAAACAGCUGGUGCUCAAAUACUACUCUAUAAUGGGGGCCUCACUAAAGGUUCAGUUCUGUAACCACGUCACUGGUUUUGCUGCACAGAGCGUCAGCUGUGUUCACUCGUCAGGCCUAACAAGCGGACCAGGACAGGCCUUUCUGCAACAUCUGGUGCCGUAAUUGGACAGCCGACUGUGACCCCCCGUUGGAUCAAAACAGGCCUUCCUUUUUUUGCUGUCCCUGCUAACAGAAUCCAGACCCUGGACUCGCACUACAAUUUCCAGCGCUGUGAGAACGGCCGGCUACGCUAACGACGCGGCCGGCGUGGGGGUCAGUGCUAGAAUAAUGACCUCGGCAGCCUCACACUUUGUCCAAUUAAACUGCAGAACACUUCAAAAGGUCAGACCUUCAUCCCAGCAAGGAACACUGGAGAGGGAAGAAAAGCAUAGAGGAACUGAAGAACCCCUCUUUAAUAGUUUAGGACUGUGCAGGGCGUAUUUAGGUUUCUAAUAAUGGGGCAAUGGCGUGUGUGGCUGGUGUGUGUAUAAAGGUUUUUUUAUAGGGGGCAUAAAGAGGGUAAUAGGGCUUUGAGGGUUGGAAUUUGUCAGUAGUAAGGUCUAGUCUAAUGACAGUCUCUCUUAACUCUAUAGGAAUUCCUUGUAUAACUUCAGUCUGUCAGGAUUAACAAUUCUGCCGCAGGAUAUUUGAGAAGUUUCACAAGCGGGAACUUGAGAGGCUAAAAGUGAAAAAUGUUGCAGUUAGUUUGACCAUAAUUAAACAGUUUAUGGAACACAGCAGCCAGACUUGUUUGAGUUGCUGUGAGUUAAUUUAUGCUUUUUCAUAUCCUUAAGUUAAUUAGAAUGUAUCAAACUCAACAAGCCAUAGGUACAAGUAAAAAAUACUAGCCUUUUUUACCACCAAAGACAGAACAGCAUCCCUAAAGCACUGUCACUGCUAUAUCCCAGGCACACACACUUAGUUUUAUGUAAUGUCAGAAGAAAAGUUGGAGCACGAGUGAAGUACAGCUUACUUCUUCUGUAGCACAUGAACCAAUGUCAUCAAUGUCAUCAAUGUCAUCAUUGGCAAA